rnacentral:rRNA from 1 species
UACAGAGGUCUCAAGCGUUGUUCGGAUUCAUUGGGCGUAAAGGGUGUGUAGGUGGCGCGCUGAAGUCGGGUGUGAAAUUUCGGAGCUUAACUCCGAAACUGCAUUCGAUACUGGCGUGCUUGAGGACUGGAGAGGAGACUGGAAUUCAUGGUGUAGCAGUGAAAUGCGUAGAGAUCAUGAGGAAGACCAGUGGCGAAGGCGGGUCUCUGGACAGUUCCUGACGCUGAGGCACGAAGGUCAGGGGAGCAAACGGG